rnacentral:tRNA from 1 species
ACCUGGGUGGCUCAGUCGGUUGAGCGUCUGACUUCAGCUCAGGUCACGAUCUCACGGUCCGUGAGUUCGAGCCCCGCGUCAGGCU